rnacentral:tRNA from 1 species
GGAGAAAUGGCAGAGUGGUCGAAUGCGGCGGUCUUGAAAACCGUUGAACUCGCGAGGGUUCCGGGGGUUCGAAUCCCUCUUUCUCCGCCA